CCCAAUUUUUUCACAUUUUCUUCACAAUCAUAAGUGACACAUACUUUGAUCCUCCUAAAAUGGUUUUAUGGAAAAUUUUCGAUAAAAGUCGAUCGAUCAAUUUGAAGUCACAUUGAAUUACUAUGGGAAAAUCGAGGAGAAACAAAAUUUAAAUUUUCAAAUAAAUUUUUUUCAGAGUUUUUUGUAAUUUUUGAUUCAAAAUUGAACAUUGU
ensembl:ncRNA Y113G7A.17 ncRNA